UUGACUCUCAAAUUCAAUGAAGUUAGAGAAGAGAAAAUGAGAAGUUUUCUUGAUGAAAUAAGAGAUACUUGAGUGUAAAGAACUGUUUUUAGAUGAAAUAUGAGAUAUCCGAGUGAAAAGAAUUGAUUUUUAGAGUAGAGAAGAGAUAUCCGAGUGAAAAGAAUUGAUUUUUAGAGGAAAGAAGAGAUACCCGAGUGAAAAGAA
rnacentral:lncRNA from 1 species